GACCAUAAAUGAGCAGACCGAAUCUUAACCAUAAGAUUCACAACAUCGUCUGCUGAGCUGAGCCCGAAGAGAGUUCUAGGGUGUCGUCCAUGGCUGUUAACCAGUUUGGAACUUAAGCAAGAAAACCAAUGGAUGCCAAACCAAAGAGAUUGACAAAUGGAGAAGCAAACGUGAACGGAAUGGAUGGAUCAGUGAACCGAGUGCGGCAGCUCCGCAAGAGGCUCUCUCUCAAGAACUUCAAGAGAUGUGGCUGGCAGGUGGGAGGUGGGAAGCGCUGUUGGCCAAUGCAAUGCAUGACUCCCUUUAUCGAUCUUGAUUUUGAGAUUGGCUCUCUCGUGAUCUAAUAUCUGCUACUCAGGGUUGAAGGGAUUUCUUUCCUAUUAACCUGAUGUACUGUGCAGGUAAGUUGAGAAGGAGAUAAGAAAUUGGUUGGAAUCUUUCAAGAGAAAAGAGAGAGAGCGUAUGCUGUUCUGACCUUUGCCAUGCACAAUGCGGGCUUAUGUUUCUUGCUGGUACUUCCCUCACACCCAAUAAUGAGUUAAUCAACUUUGACUUUCGGUGGUAUCAUGUCUACAUCUUUCCACAUGAUUUUGACAUUUAAAAGACACAGGAAGAUACUUUUCAGAAUUCAUAUCAUGAGUUAAUAUAAAUGAAUUAUCAAAAUAUGUUUUAAUUCUAAUCUGUGCAUACAUGUAUCUUGUACACAAGAGCCUGAAGAGAUGAGCAGUUUCUAAUUCAUUUCAUAUUGUUGCUUUUAUGAUUAUAAAAUGAUGAUAAUAAUAGCUGGAUUUAUAGGGCACUUUUUGCCUGAGGAUACAAAGUGCUGCUAUUAUUACCCUCGCUUGAGCUGUGCCGUAGGUGCUCAAGCAUUCAAGGGAUUUCUUCCUACCUAUAAACCUGGGUUGAGUG